CUAUGGUGUGGACUUUGGUGAAUGUCGGCUCAACGUCUCUGCAGCGAGGGAUUGGCCCGAACCUGAGAGACCCAACACAGACACACCUGAGAGACCCAACAGUGAGAGAGCGAACAGGGACAGUUGGGGACUGACAUUCCUUUACUGUCUACUGGGACUGACAGUAGCAGUGGUCGUUUUGUGUUUUCUUCAUCGCCUUUGUUUAUUCACUGUCUUGUCUAAGAAACAAAGCCCUGUGGAGGAAAGUUACAGCUCAGCAGGAUCAAGGAAAGAGUUUGAUCCACAACUUAAUGAUUUUUAACAACAAUGAUAGCAAUGACACAGGCUGAACAGGGUCAGUUGGAUAUGGAUUACCCUCUACUGUGAACUGGUACUGACAGCAGCAGUGGUCAUUGUGUGGUUUCUUUGUCGCCUUUUAUUUAUUCACUGUCUAAGAAACAAAGUCCUGUGGAGGAUUAUACAAAGGUUACAGCUCAGCAGGAUUGGUGGAAAUGGUUGAAACACAUCCUGCCUUUUGUUCAGUAAGUGUCUGUAAUAAAAGAGUCAGAGGAGAUAAACAAUAAUGGAGUUGAUUAAGAAACAUUGUUUUUCACUUUUGUUGUCCAUUAUUUUGACAGGACGUCUCAUCAAACUCUGUCACUUAUAAGACAGAUCUGAAAUCUGCUGUGUGUUCACUUUACUGAAAUAAUGCUGAGAAACAUGUCGACCUCGUACAACACUUGUAACUCUGUGCAUUUUAUGUUGUUGCCUCUAUGAUUAAUAAGAUAUGACAUUAACAUUGACAGUAUAUCCUGUAUAUGUAUUGCUCGCCUCUUAACUGGAGCACAUAAGACGGAGCACAUUACUCCCAUUCUGGCCUCCCUCCACUGGCUGUCUGUGCACUGUAGAGUUCAUCUUAAGAUUCUUUAAAUGGUCUCGCCCUGCCUUACCUCUCUGAGCUGCUCCAUCCCUACGGUCCUGCCCGGUGCCUCCGGUCAGCUGACCAGCUGCUCCUGGAGGUACCGAGAGAAGCUCAGAUGAGAAAGAGCUUUUUCUGUUGCCAGUCUCAAACUAUGGAACGUCCUCCCGCUACACAUCAGAUGAGCCCCCUCACUGUUCAUUUUUAAAACUAAUCUUAAAACCCAUCUUUAUUCUUCGGCUUUCAACCCAGCAUGAGACUCUGCUCUUGUUAUAGUGUCUUAUUGUUUUUAUUGUUAUUGUUUUUGAUAUUGUCUUUUGUGUUUUUGUGUUUUAUGUUCUAUUUCCUAUUUAUGUACAGCACUUUGUCCCAGCUAUGGCUACUUAAAGUACUUUCUAAAUCAAGUUGAGUUGAGUUGAGUUGAGUUGAGUUGAGUUGAGUUGAGUUGAGUUGAGUUGAGUUGAGUAUAUCCUGUACUGGCCUCCUGUAGGAUGUAAAGAAGAAUCAGGUGAACUAUAGAACAGAGAACAUUCAGUUAAAUUUAAAACAUUAAAUUAACUGAAGAACAGUGAACCACUGAAAACAUUAGAAUCAUCUGUAAAGACACGUUUGUCUUUAAUAUUGUUGUAUAUGAUCCCUCUAUAUGCACUUUGAGUUAUCUGUGUUUUGUUAUUUUACUUUUUCUGUUUUUUUUUAAAUCCUUCAUAUUUGACCAACUGUCCACAAUUUUUUAAUAGAUGUAACUUUUUCCUGCAGAGCUUUAACCUUUACUUGGUGUAAUGUGCAGUUUAAACUAAAAUGAAGAGCUGCUUUUUCAUUUGUGUUUUUUCAUUUAUUGUUAUUGAUUGUCAUUGUGUCUGUGUAUGUGUGCUUGAAUGAAAAACUGUUUUUUUUUGUUAAUGCUGGUGUGAAGGACAAAGGUCUAUAUAAUAAAGGUGUUAUAUAAUAAAUAACACUUUGAUGAAAGGA